UGCCCAAUGAAAUUUUAAUGGCUGCAGUAUUUUGACUGUACAAAGGUAGCAUAAUCAAUAGUUUCUUAAUUAGAAGCUGGAAUGAAUGGAUUUACGAGAAAUUAAUUGUCUCAAUAUAAAAUUUAUAAUUUUAUUUUUAAGUAAAAAAGCUUAAAUUUUAUUAAAAGACGAGAAGACCCUAUAGAAUUUUAUAUAAUUUUAUAUAAAAAUUUUUAUUAAAUAAUAUUAUAUUUUAUUGGGGUGAUAGAAAAAUUUAUUUAACUUUUUUUUUAUUAAAACAAUUAUUAUUGAAUUUUUGAUCCAAUUUUUUGAUUAAAAGAAUAAAUUACCUUAGGGAUAACAGCGUAAUAUUUUUUUAGAGUUCAUAUUAAAAAAAAUGCUUGCGACCU
rnacentral:rRNA from 1 species